rnacentral:rRNA from 1 species
UACGGAGGGGGCUAGCGUUGCUCGGAAUUACUGGGCGUAAAGCGCACGUAGGCGGUCUUUUAAGUCGGGGGUGAAAUCCUGGAGCUCAACUCCAGAACUGCCUUCGAUACUGGAAGACUCGAGUCCGGGAGAGGUGAGUGGAACUGCGAGUGUAGAGGUGAAAUUCGUAGAUAUUCGCAAGAACACCAGUGGCGAAGGCGGCUCACUGGCCCGGUACUGACGCUGAGGUGCGAAAGCGUGGGGAGCAAACAGG